rnacentral:rRNA from 1 species
AGAGUUUGAUCCUGGCUCAGAACGAACGCUGGCGGCAUGCCUAAUACAUGCAAGUCGAACGCUUUUGGGGUUUCGGCUCCAAGGGAGUGGCGCACGGGUGAGUAGCGCGUGGGAACCUGCCCUGUUGUGGGGGAUAACCGAGGGAAACUUCGGCUAAUACCGCAUGCGCCCCGGGGAAACCCGGGGAAAGAUUUAUCGCA